CACUGCUUAAUUUGAUUCUAUUCUAUUUCCCAUACCUAUAGCUAUUGUUAUACAUAUCUUCCACCCAACUGAAAAAAAACCAGCCGUACCCUUUAGUUGUGACUAUUGUUACUUAUUUCUCUACUAGUCUCUACGUUUGGUAGACAAUGCAUCAGUUUCCUCCGGGCAGCAAAGUUCACGUGAGAUGGAUACUCAGUGCUGUUUAAAUAAACUAGAACUAAUAGUUAGAACAUAUUUGGUUCCUAUAUUCGCCUGACUAAACUUUGGUGGCUAAAGUUUAGUCACUAAAGUACUCUGUUUGGUUUCAGUGACUAAACCUGACUAAAAACAUUAAUUGACGUGAAUAAUGACUGCAUUACUCUUAUUAAUUAGUGAUGCCUGCUGCACUAAGAAAGAGGAGAGGGCAAAUGAGGUAAAAAUCCUACUUUAGUCCCUUUUAG
rnacentral:lncRNA from 1 species